GAUGAACGCUAGCGGCAGGCCUAAUACAUGCAAGUCGAACGGGAUCCAGAUCAAAGCUUGCUUUGGUCUGGUGAGAGUGGCGCACGGGUGCGUAACGCGUGAGCAACCUACCCUUGUCAGGGGGAUAGCCCGGCGAAAGUCGGAUUAAUACCGCAUGACAUCAUUGAGAGGCAUCUUUCGAUGAUCAAAGAUUUAUCGGACGAGGAUGGGCUCGCGUGACAUUAGCUAGUUGGUAAGGUAACGGCUUACCAAGGCUGCGAUGUCUAGGGGCUCUGAGAGGAGAAUCCCCCACACUGGUACUGAGACACGGACCAGACUCCUACGGGAGGCAGCAGUAAGGAAUAUUGGUCAAUGGACGGAAGUCUGAACCAGCCAUGCCGCGUGCAGGAAGACGGCCCUAUGGGUUGUAAACUGCUUUUAUACGGGAACAAACGUCGGUACGGGUACCGGUCUGAGUGUACCGUAAGAAUAAGGAUCGGCUAACUCCGUG
rnacentral:rRNA from 1 species